rnacentral:rRNA from 1 species
UACGUAGGUGGCAAGCGUUGUCCGGAAUUAUUGGGCGUAAAGCGCGCGCAGGCGGUCCUUUAAGUCUGAUGUGAAAGCCCACGGCUCAACCGUGGAGGGUCAUUGGAAACUGGGGGACUUGAGUGCAGGAGAGAAGAGUGGAAUUCCACGUGUAGCGGUGAAAUGCGUAGAUAUCGGGAGGAACACCAGUGGCGAAGGCGACUACCUGGCCUGUUCGUGACGCUGAGGCGCGAAAGCUAGGGGAGCAAACGGG